GCUGCCGUAGUAUAAUGGGUUUAAUGCGUCCGGCUUUUAACCGGGAUAAUGCGGGUUCGAGUCCUGUCGGCAGCC